UCACAAAGCGCAAGGUUUAGUAUUGGUAUCUAUUGUGCCAAAGCACUUGUGUUGUAAACCAGAAGAGCUCCUCCGGCGAGAAUUCCGGCUAGGGUAACCGCCCAUAUCGCCAACCCGGUUUUCCCUG